AUUGAACGCUGGCGGCAGGCCUAACACAUGCAAGUCGAGCGAAUGAGGGAAGCUUGCUUCCCGAUUUAGCGGCGGACGGGUGAGUAAUGCCUAGGAAUCUGCCUAUUAGUGGGGGAUAACGUUCCGAAAGGAACGCUAAUACCGCAUACGUCCUACGGGAGAAAGUGGGGGAUCUUCGGACCUCACGCUAAUAGAUGAGCCUAGGUCGGAUUAGUUAGUUGGUGAGGUAACGGCUCACCAAGGAGACGAUCCGUAGCUGGUCUGAGAGGAUGAUCAUCCACACUGGAGCUGAGACACGGUCCAGACUCCUAGGGGAGGAAGCAGUGGGGAAUAUUGGACAAUGGGCGAAAGCCUGAUCCAGCCAUGCCGCGUGUGUGAAGAAGGUCUUCGGAUUGUAAAGCACUUUAAGUUGGGAGGAAGGGUUGUAAGCUAAUAUCUUGCAGCUUUGACGUUACCAACAGAAUAAGCACCGGCUAACUCUGUGCCAGCCGCCGCAGUAAGAC
rnacentral:rRNA from 1 species